UUUGUUCCCUAAAUAGGGACUUGUAUGAACGGCCACACGAGGGCUUUACUGUCUCUUACUUCCAAUCCGUGAAAUUGACCUUCCCGUGAAGAGGCGGGAAUAUAAUAAUAAGACGAGAAGACCCUAUGGAGCUUUAAUUAACCGACCCAAAGAGACCUACCAAUUUAAACCGAUAGGAACAACAAACCUCUAUUAUGGGCCGAUAAUUUAGGUUGGGGUGACCUCGGAGAACAAAAUAACCUCCGAGUGAUUUAAAUCAAGACUUACCAGUCAAAAGUAUUACAUCACUUAUUGAUCCAAAAACUUGAUCAACGGAACAAGUUACCCUAGGGAUAACAGCGCAAUCCUAUUUUAGAGUCCAUAUCGACAAUAGGG
rnacentral:rRNA from 1 species